CGUCUAUAUACGUAUAGCAUAUCAAUAAGCGGAGGAAAAGAAACUAACUAGGAUUCCCUCAGUAACGGCGAGUGAAGCGGGAAGAGCUCAAAUUUGAAAUCUUCAAGGUUCUACCUUGACGAAUUGUAGUUUAAAGAAGUGUUUUCUGUUGGAGUUUUGGUAAAAGUUCUUUGGAAUAGGACAUCAUAGAGGGUGAGAAUCCCGUAUUUGACCAUUAUUUCCAACUUUGUGAUACACUUUCAAAGAGUCGGAUUGUUUGGGAAUGCAGUCCAAAAUGGGUGGUAAAUUUCAUCUAAAGCUAAAUAUUGGCGAGAGACCGAUAGCGAACAAGUACCGUGAGGGAAAGAUGAAAAGAACUUUGAAAAGAGAGUUAAACAGUACGUGAAAUUGUCAAAAGGGAAGCGUUUGACACCAGUGUUGUUUUCUCGAAAAUCAAUUAAAAAAGAUUUAGAUUGGAUUUUGUGUUGUAUUGACUUCAUCAGCUUUCUGCACUCUUUUCUUGUCUUUUUUAAUGCACUUUUCGUUUAACAAGUCAACAUCAAUUUCUUUUGUUGUAAAAGGGUCAUUGGAAGGUGGCUUUCUUUUCGGAGAAAGUGUUUAUAGCCUUUGACUUCUGCAAUCGGAGAGAUUGAGGUCUGCAGCGUAGAUCCUUCGGGGUUAGAUGCAUUUGUGCUAAGUUAUAGCCUUUCAUAGACAACUUGUUGACUAUGAUCAGUCAUGUAGCUUACUCGCUUAUGUCAUUUUACCUACGCUUAGGAUGUUGAUCUGUAGUGCGUGCGC
rnacentral:rRNA from 1 species